CAGCAUGGGGAAUAUUGCACAAUGGGCGCAAGCCUGAUGCAGCCAUGCCGCGUGUAUGAAGAAGGCCUUCGGGUGUAAAGUACUUUCAGCAGUGAGGAAGGUGGGUAUGUUAAUAGCAUACUCAUUUGACGUUAGCUGCAGAAGAAGCACCGGCUAACUCCGUGCCAGCAGCCGCGGUAAUACGGAGGGUGCGAGCGUUAAUCGGAAUUACUGGGCGUAAAGCGCAUGCAGGUGGUUUGUUAAGUCAGAUGUGAAAGCCCGGGGCUCAACCUCGGAAUUGCAUUUGAAACUGGCAAACUAGAGUACUGUAGAGGGGGUAGAAUUUCAGGUGUAGCGGUGAAAUGCGUAGAGAUCUGAAGGAAUACCGGUGGCGAAGGCGGCCCCCUGGACAGAUACUGACACUCAGAUGCGAAAGCGUGGGGAGCAAACAGGAUUAGAUACCCUGGUAG
rnacentral:rRNA from 1 species